GACGAACGCUGGCGGCGUGCCUAAUACAUGCAAGUCGAGCGCAGGAAGCUGACGGAACUCUUCGGAGGGAAGGCAGUGGAAUGAGCGGCGGACGGGUGAGUAACACGUAAGGAACCUGCCUCAAGGAUUGGGAUAACUCCGAGAAAUCGGAGCUAAUACCGGAUAGUUCAACGGACCGCAUGGUCCGCUGAUGAAAGGCGCUUCGGCGUCACCUUGAGAUGGCCUUGCGGUGCAUUAGCUAGUUGGUGGGGUAACGGCCCACCAAGGCGACGAUGCAUAGCCGACCUGAGAGGGUGAUCGGCCACACUGGGACUGAGACACGGCCCAGACUCCUACGGGAGGCAGCAGUAGGGAAUCUUCCACAAUGGACGAAAGUCUGUUGGAGCAACGCCGCGUGAGUGAUGAAGGUUUUCGGAUCGUAAAACUCUGUUGUAAGGGAAGAACACGUACGAGAGGGAAUGCUCGUACCUUGACGGUACCUUACGAGAAAGCCACGGCUAACUACGUGCCAGCCGCCGCGGUAAGAC
rnacentral:rRNA from 1 species